rnacentral:sRNA from 1 species
UGAUUCGAGUGAAGGAAUCGUUAGGAAGAAGCGACGGAGAGAGAUGGAUGAAGAAAAGGUUCAAACUUUGUUCUUCGCCAAUGGCCUCUG